GAGAAUGGCAGCCGGCGGUACUGUGCGAAUCAAAUCCGACUGGAUCCGACAGGGAAGACGGGGGUGGAGGUUGCUGCCAGCUUCGCGGGGUCGUGCUACAGCUAUAGACGCAAGGAAUCGACCAGAGGUUCACCGGGACGUGCGGAUUUUGCGGCGGACUGGCUCACGGUCGACCGCCGGUAUUUGGUGAAGACAAGCUCCACGGCGAGACAGAAUUAAUAUCCAGGACCAUGCGAUCCUUCUUCAGAGUGUGUGCAUCAGAACUACGCUUCUGCAUCUCAGAGCUUUCGCUGCUGCGGAACUGAACUACAUCUAAAUCAGGGCUUGUAGCGGAGUAAAGUUACAUGACUUCACUUCGCCUGCAGUCAGAGGAUCCUCGUCCUGUGAGCGUACAGUACAUCUGAUUCUUUACCAGUUUGCAUGAUAACCCCACAAUAUGAUGUAUCCGAACACAAGCAUAUGAUACACUAAAAAUUAGUUUACUAGUUGAAAUUUCAUCGGCAGAUGUCCAUCCAUUGUCCUAUUAUAAGGCCAAAAUUCCCGUCAAAUGGCAACAGAGGAAUCUACCUACCAUAGCGCACAGCCUUCUACUGAAAGUCUGAGACAUCAUGAUCUUCGACUGAUUUUUUUCUUCUUUUUUGGUUCUCAGCAAACAUAAGACCCUCGGUCACAUCGAUCGAGAGAUCCAAAAUCCAAAUACCAUCUAGAAACUCAACAAUCCAUCUCAUCGAUUGGAACAGCAUGGAAAUGACUGCCGAAAUAUGCGCAAAAAAAUGAGUACUCCUAGUCCUAGCUACUAUCCCUGCCCCAGCAGUUCACCGUUGAAUCUUUUCGACAGGACCCAGGCAUUAACCACUCAGCUACCAGCCUUCCUUGACCUCGUAGCCGAUCUGCUCAGACACUCCAACUCUGCAAAAAUUUCAAAUCACCUUUCCUUAGCAAAUGCUCAGCAAACAGACAAGAAAUUUGCACC